rnacentral:rRNA from 1 species
UACGAAGGGGGCAAGCGUUGUUCGGAAUUACUGGGCGUAAAGGGCGCGUAGGCGGCUUACCAAGUCAGGCGUGAAAUUCCUGGGCUCAACCUGGGGACUGCGCUUGAUACGGCAGAGCUUGAGGAUGGAAGAGGGUCGCGGAAUUCCCAGUGUAGAGGUGAAAUUCGUAGAUAUUGGGAAGAACACCGGUGGCGAAGGCGGCGACCUGGUCCAUUACUGACGCUGAGGCGCGACAGCGUGGGGAGCAAACAGG